AAAAACCGAGGAAAACAAAUUUACAGAAUUUAGAUUUAGAGAUACUAAAAUGUGAAAAGUUACAUCGAUUUGUAUGGGUAAUAAGAAAAUGAAGAGACAUUGAGUGACAUAUCAAAGGUCCAAAAUGUGUGACCAAUGAGAGGACAAUGUCACUCAUCCAUUAAUAUGAGAGUUGGAUAAGAAAUAUUUUAUAAGUAUUUACCUCACAUUUAAGAUGUUAUUUGACGAAUAAAAUAAUAAAAUCCAUGUUUUGGAGAGGGGAAGAGAAGUCUUCAUAAAUAUCGCAUAUUGUACCACUUCAUUGAGUAUGCAGUAUUACAUAGUUUAAAUAUUGAAAAAACUAUAUGGUGAAAUAAAUAUAAUUGGAGUCCUUAAGAAUAGUAGACUGGAAUGUGUUGGACAUAUAUGGAGGUCCGAAGGCCCUAUAGGAUUGGCCACGAGCUUGAAGCCAGACACAAGUAGGCCGAGAGGACGACCCAGACAGCGGUGGAAAGAUAAGAUUAUAAAAGAUGCAUCGAAAUUGGGAGUAAACGACGGAAAAGAACUAGCUGAAGCUAGGCAUUUGGGAGGCAUUUGGUUGUUGCGGCAAUGUACCUAAAUGGCCUGUAAAAGUCAAAAAAAGAAGAAGAAAUAUUGAAAGAAAUUAUAUUUUAAAGUACAAAUACUGUUAAUAACAUAAAUUAUUACUAUAUGGUUAAUGCUUAUCCGCAUACUCCGAAUACUUUUUAAUUUUAACUGUAUUUUCUAACAAACAUAAGUCACAAUUACAAAUAGAAGGUGCUGCGGGGGCAUAGCAUCCAACCAAAUUUUCUCAUAGCUUUUCAAGAUUAAACAGUCAUACUUUUUAAUUAAACUAUAGUCUUCAAAGAUUUUUUACAGUUACACUGUACUACCUUAAAUGUAAUAAUGCUUUUUUCUAGGAAAUAUUUGUGAUUGAAAUACAUAUAUUUUCGAUUUUAGUAAAAAUGUAUGUAAAAAAGUUCUUUACAUACAUUUUAAACAAUCCAAAUAUUAAUAAAGUCUGAAUAAUAAUUAGUUACACACUACGUGUUUAACGAACACGUACGGUUCCGUGAUAGUCUGUAUGUGAACCAUACGGUUUUAUUUUUCGGCGUUUAAAUGCUGCAUUUUUAAAACGCGUACGCUAGCGUCUAAAACCCGUAGGCCAGACGUUCCCAACCUUUUUUGAAUCACGGUACCCUUUAUUAUUUUCUUAAAAUUU